AAUCAACGCUGGCGGCGCGCCUCAGACAUGCAAGUCGAACGAUUAAGACUUCCUUCGGGAGGUGCAUAAAGUGGCGCACGGGUGAGUAACACGUAAGUAAUCUACCCUCGAGUGGGGAAUAACGUUCGGAAACGAACGCUAAUACCGCAUAACGCAGCGGCACCGCAAGGUGACAGUUGUUAAAGGAGCAAUCCGCUUGAGGAGGAGCUUGCGGCAGAUUAGCUAGUUGGUAAGGUAAUGGCUUACCAGGGCUACGAUCUGUAUCCGGUCUAAGAGGACGGUCGGACACACUGACACUGAAUAACGGGUCAGACUCCUACGGGAGGCAGCAGUCGGGAAUUUUGGGCAAUGGGCGAAAGCCUGACCCAGCAACGCCGCGUGAAGGACGAAGUAUUUCGGUAUGUAAACUUCGAAAGAAUGGGAAGAAUAAAUGACGGUACCAUUUAUAAGCUCCGGCUAACUACGUGCCAGCAGCCGCGGUAAAAC
rnacentral:rRNA from 1 species